rnacentral:rRNA from 1 species
CGGGUGAGUAAUGUAUGGGGAUCUGCCUGAUGGCGGGGGGUAACUACUGGAAACGGUAGCUAAUACCGCAUAAUGUCUGCGGACCAAAGCGGGGGACCUCCGGGCCUCGCGCCAUCAGAUGAACCCAUAUGGGAUUAGCUUGUAGGUAAGGUAACGGCUUACCUAGGCGACGAUCCCUAGCUGGUCUGAGAGGAUGAUCAGCCACACUGGGACUGAGACACGGCCCAG